GAUGAACGCUAGCGGUGUGCUUAAAGCAUGCAAGUCGAACGUGAUCCCCUGGAUUCGUCUGGGGGUGAAAGUGGCGAACGGGUGAGUAACGCGUUGGUGAUCUGCCCCGGAGUGGGGAAUAACUAUUGGAAACGAUAGCUAAUACCCCAGAUGUCAUUGUCUUUGGAAAGCGAUGACUAAAGUUCAGGCGCUCCGGGAGGAGCCUGCGUCCCAUCAGCUAGUUGGUAAGGUAAUGGCUUACCAAGGCUAAGACGGGUAGGGGGCGUGAGAGCGUGACCCCCCACACUGGUACUGACACACGGACCAGAUACCUACGGGUAGCAGCAGCUAGGAAUAUUGGGCAAUGGGCGCAAGCCUGACCCAGCAACACCGCGUGGAGGACGAAGGCCUUCGGGUCGUAAACUCCUUUUCUGGGGGAUGAGAAAGGACGGUACCCCAGGAAUAAGGCCCGGCUAACUACGUG
rnacentral:rRNA from 1 species